UACGUAGGGUGCAAGCGUUGUCCGGAAUUAUUGGGCGUAAAGAGCUCGUAGGCGGUCUGUCGCGUCUGCUGUGAAAACUCGGGGCUUAACCCCGGGCCUGCAGUGGGUACGGGCAGACUAGAGUGCGGUAGGGGAGACUGGAAUUCCUGGUGUAGCGGUGAAAUGCGCAGAUAUCAGGAGGAACACCGGUGGCGAAGGCGGGUCUCUGGGCCGAAACUGACGCUGAGGAGCGAAAGCGUGGGGAGCGAACAGG
rnacentral:rRNA from 1 species